ACAACAGAAGGGGAGCCGACUGCUGAAAGCAGGGACAACUUCAUUAGGUAUUUAUUGGAAGGCACUAAAGCUCUGACACCACAAUUUGCUAUCCAAAACAGCGACAUUAUCAGUCACAUCAUCAGCUGUAGCACUGCCAUUAACAUUCUCUCAGUGAGAAAAUGUGACAUCCAGACUAACCCAAACCCUACUGAUUUGUUUGAGGACAUCUUUGAGAUCUUUAGGACAAUCUCCUUGCUAUUGGGUCGCGCUAAUGGUACACAGCAGUUUAUCAUCAGGUACCCAUCAGGCACCAUCUAUCAAAACAGUUCUAAACCUGCUGAAAUCAGCAAUGUAGUGCUCGGGUCAGAGAAAGAUGGGACGUUCAUCAGACUCCCCUCAUA